AUUGAACGCUGGCGGCAUGCCUUACACAUGCAAGUCGAACGGCAGCACGGGAGCAAUCCUGGUGGCGAGUGGCGAACGGGUGAGUAAAGUAUCGGAACGUGCCCAGUCGUGGGGGAUAACGUAGCGAAAGUUACGCUAAUACCGCAUACGAUCUAUGGAUGAAAGCGGGGGAUCGCAAGACCUCGCGCGAUUGGAGCGGCCGAUAUCAGAUUAGGUAGUUGGUGGGGUAAAGGCUCACCAAGCCGACGAUCUGUAGCUGGUCUGAGAGGACGAGCAGCCACACUGGGACUGAGACACGGCCCAGACUCCUACGGGAGGCAGCAGUGGGGAAUUUUGGACAAUGGGCGAAAGCCUGAUUCAGCCAAGCCGCGUGCAGGAUGAAGGCCUUCGGGUUGUAAACUGCUUUUGUACGGAACGAAAAGGUUUGGCCUAAUAAGCUGAGCUCAUGACGGUACCGUAAGAAUAAGCACCGGCUAACUACGUGCCAGCAGCCGCCGUAA
rnacentral:rRNA from 1 species